GUCCCCGGCCGUGACUGGCGUGAGGUGGGCCUGACCACCGGGGAGCGGCCGAGCACCACCCGACAACGCACCGGACGCCUGGGUGCCUGGG
rnacentral:ncRNA from 2 species